rnacentral:rRNA from 1 species
UACGAAGGGGGCUAGCGUUGCUCGGAAUUACUGGGCGUAAAGCGCACGUAGGCGGAUUGUUAAGUCGGGGGUGAAAUCCCGGAGCUCAACUCCGGAACUGCCUUCGAUACUGGCGAUCUUGAGUCCGGGAGAGGUGAGUGGAACUGCGAGUGUAGAGGUGAAAUUCGUAGAGAUUCGCAGGAACACCGGUGGCGAAGGCGGCUACCUGGGCCAAUACUGACGCUGAGGCACGAGAGCGUGGGGAGCAAACAGG